UACGAAGGGGGCUAGCGUUGCUCGGAAUCACUGGGCGUAAAGGGUGCGUAGGCGGGUCUUUAAGUCAGGGGUGAAAUCCUGGAGCUCAACUCCAGAACUGUCCUUUGAUACUGAGGAUCUUGAGUUCGGGAGAGGUGAGUGGAACUGCGAGUGUAGAGGUGAAAUUCGUAGAUAUUCGCAAGAACACCAGUGGCGAAGGCGCUCACUGGCCCGAUACUGACGCUGAGGCACGAAAGCGUGGGGAGCAAACAGGG
rnacentral:rRNA from 1 species